rnacentral:lncRNA from 1 species
GUCAAAGCUUAAAUCCUUUUGAUUCUAAAACAAUAGUUUCUCCUAUAGGAUUUUUUAGAGGUAUUUAGGGAAACUUUCUUCUUCCUUGCUUCAUUUAUCAGAAUAAGUAAAACAUACCUACAGAAGGCGGUGCAUUAUUCAUAUUGUAACUAUUUUAAACAGGGAUAUAAUUGGUGUCUUGGAAAACUAGCCCUUUAAUUACACAUAAAAUCUCUCAUUGCUUAUACAUACAUAUAAUGACAUCUAUUAUUUGAUUAUUUAUUUUAGCUUUAAACAACUUUUUAAAUUAUUGAAAGCAAUGAAAAAACACAUUAUUCAUGGCUUUAUCUGAGAAAAUAGUACAGACUGUAAGAAAUAAAUACUUUGUGUUUUAAGGGUUCACUGUUACCCAAAUACUAAUUUUUAGCUUUGUGAUGUAUGCUUUUGGUUAUGUAAAAUACUUCAUAGGAAUUAAUUCAAAUGCAUCAUUUAAAUAGCAGUAAAUUUAUAUCUUGUUUUUAUAUAAACUACAUUAUCUAAAACUUGUGUUAGAAUAUGUAUUUAUUUAUUUAUUUAUUUAUUUUGAGAUGGAGUCUUGGUCUGUUACCCAGGCUAGAGUGCAGUGGUACAAUCUCAGCUCACUGCAAUCUCUACCUCCCGGGUUCAAGCAAUUCUGCCUCAGCCUCCUAAGUAGCUGGGAUUACAGCUGCGUGCCACCAUGUCUGGCAAAAAAAUUUUUUUUUUUUUUUAGUAGAGGCGGGGUUUCACCAUGCUGGCUAGGCUGGUCUCGAACUCCUGAACUCAGGAUCCACGUGCCUCGGCCUCCCAAAGUGCUGGGAUUACAGGAGUGAGCCACCACGCCCAGCCUAUUUAUUUAUUUUUUGAGGCAGGGUCUCAUUCUGUCACCCAGGCAGGAGUGCAGUGCCAUGAUCUUGGCUCACUGCAACUUCCACCCCUUGGGCUCCAGUGAUCCCCCAACCUCAGCCUCCCUAGUAGCUUCGACUACAGGUGCACACCACACACCUGGCUAAUUUUUGUAUUUUUUUUGUUGUUGUCGUUGUUGUUUUAGUAGAGACAGGGUUUCACCAUGUUGCCAAGGCUGGAGAAUAUUUAGAUCGACGAGGGUCUGAUACUUGUUCUUCCAAAUGAAUCAAAGUAGUUGUUCAAUAGAAACUGAUACUGUCAUAUACACAGUUUGGAAUGUAAAACUUAUUAAAAAGUUACAGACCUUGAGAAUAUCUUAUAUUUUAGAUGUUCUUUAAUUUGGGGAUUCCGAUAGGUCACCCUCUAGUUUUGUGAUAUUCUACAGCUGGAAUGAAUCCUGAUCCUCAUAACAGAGCUGGGUUCUGCAUAAGUAGAGAGUUCAUCCAAAUUAUGAUCAAGCUUGACAGAACCUCUUCUCAAAUCAGAUUGUGAAGUGGCCACAAUGACACUUGAAUAAAACAGUGGAGUUACAGUAAAGGGAACAAUAUCCUUUUUAUUGCCUUUUCUUCACAGCUCAGAACAGAGACCAGUCUGGCUAAUUUGGGAACGGUGACAAAAUUAGUAACGGUUUGUAAAUGCAUAAUUAGAUGAUUUUUAAAAUUUUAACUUUUCAUACUUUAAAUGUAAGGUAAAAUCAACAGUGAAAAUGAAAUGCCUAUCUAGAAAAAAUAGCUCCAAUUAGCUCAUUAUUCAAUUCUGCCCUUCUCUUUCUCAUUCUUCCUUCUUUUAAUGCCUGCAUUUGCCUUUUCUUGUCUAUGAAGAUAUUUUGGAGUCUAAAAGAUUAUUGUCAUAAAGAAGCUAUAAUGUAUAACCUUGGCUAGUUUCUUCAAGGGUGUUUUUAAGAAUAAAAUGAAACCUUGGUGCUUGCUUCAUUAAUAUAUAUACUAAAACUGGAACAGCACAGAGAUCAAUAUCGUCCAUGUGCAAGGGUGGUUCACACAUUUGUGAAUCAUUCCACAUUUUUCAAUCUUUGUGUUGGAAGAGACGAGAGUAUGGAGGGAGGAUGGAAAAGGGGAUUAAAGGGUACUUCAUCUCUAUCACUAAUAUUUUACUUCUUAUAUUAAUAAAAGUUCAUCUUCACGUAUGAAUCUAAGUGUUAGUUGUAUCUUUACUGAUUUUUGUGUUUAAAUAUUUUUUAAAAUAUUACAGCAGUCAUUUCAUUUCCAAGUUCUUAUUUCUUCCAAUUUUAUUUAUUUUUUUAUCUAUUUAGAGACAGGGUCUCAGUCUGUUGCCCAGGCUGGAGUGCAGUGGCCCGAUUACAACUCACCACAGCCUUAGCUUCCCAGGCUCAAGUGAUCAUCCCACCUCAGCCUCCUGAGAAGCUGGACCACAGAUGUGUGCCACCACACACAGCUAAUUUUUGUAAUUUUGGUAGAGACGGGGUUUCACCGUGUUGCCUAGGCUGGUCUCAAACUCCUGGGCUCAAGCAAGUCUGCCUGCCUCAUCCUCCCAAAGUCCUGGGAUUACAGGUGUGAGCCACUGCUCCAAGCCAUUUCCAGUUUUUUAAUCUAAAGAAAAUAAAUCAGAAGUGUAUGCCAAGAUUUAUACAUAAGGAUAUUCACUUCAGCACUAUUUAUAAUAGAAAAAAAUGGAAACAAGCUAAAAGUUGAACAAUACAGAAAUGGUUAAGAUAAUUAUAGCAAAGUUAUGUGAUUAUUAUACAUUUAUUUGGAAAUCUUACUUUCAGUAUGUUUCCUAUUGCUGCUGUAAUAUAUUACCACAGGUCUGGCAGGGUGGCUCACACCUGUA